rnacentral:rRNA from 1 species
AAGGGUGAGUAAUGCGAAGGUAACCAACCCUGGAGUUGGGCAUAGCCGCGGGAAACUGCGGGUAAUUCCCAGCGAUGUCGCGAGAUGGCAUCAUCUUGCGACCAAAGGUGUGAUUCCGCUCUAGGACGGGCCUUCGUGGUAUUAGGUAGUUGGUGAGGUAACGGCUCACCAAGCCGACGAUGCCUACCGGGUGUGAGAGCAUGACCCGGCACACUGGAACUGAGACACUGUCCAGACACCUACGGGUGGCUGCAGUCGAGAAUCUUCGGCAAUGGGCGAAAGCCUGACCGAGCGACGCCGCGUGAGGGAAGAAGGCCUUCGGGUUGUAAACCUCUUUCGUAGAGGAGGAAGGGGCCGUGCAGAGCGGUCUUUGACCUAUUCUAGGAAGAAGCUUGGGCUAAGUUCGUGCCAGCAGCCGCGGUAAGACGAACCAAGCGAACGUUAUUCGGAAUUACUGGGCUUAAAGCGCGUGUAGGCGGAUGACCACGUCAGUCGUUGAAAUCCCCCGGCUCAACCGGGGAACAGGCGCUGAUACGAGUUGUCUGGAGGUGGGUAGGGGAGACUGGAACUUCCGGUGGAGCGGUGAAAUGCGUUG